GCGUGGUGCGCUCGUGUUUUUUGUGGCGUGGCACGCUUGGGAUCGGGGUUAGGUGUCGGGGCGCGGGGAGCGAGGAGGGAGGGAGCAGCCGGUGAGCCGGGGCUCGGUGUGCGUGUGGGUUAGGGGAGGGGAGGUUGGGAUCGGCGGGGCGAGGGGAGGGAGAGGUGCCGCGGCGGCGGCGGAGGAAGGGAAGACGGGACGAGAGGUGGCACGGCGGAGAAGGAGGAGAAGUGACGGGAGAGGUCGCCGCCGUUUCUUGCCGUCGCGAGCUAGGCUAGACGACUUCUCUUAUACUCUCUCCCUCUCUCUGUUCCUUCCUCUCCUCCCUCUUUAUAUCUCCUUUCUCCUCUCGCUCCACACUGCCGCCUACUCUCUCCCACUGGCCUUCCUCGCACUGCUGAACAUCUGUUUCCCGCCACCGCCGCGGCGAGCUAAACUAGACGCCCUAUCUCUUCUACUCUCCCUCUCUCUCUUCCUUCUUGUACUCUCCUCCCUCUUUCUCUCUCCUUUCUCCUCUCCCCCAGCUGCCGGCUGUCCUCUCCUGGUGGCCUUCCUCACGGCGGCCGAGCAGCAGAAGGUGGCGGCCGCAGCCGGACGUGGCCGUUCCAGCCCGCCCUGGAACGAAGGUCCCGCCGAACUGGUGUCAGAUGUCUUGUCAUUUUUACCUCCUAAACCCCCGACGAGUCAAAACCUCAUCGUUUGGUACCUCCUAUACCCCGACGUGCACGAACCUCGUCGUUCGGUACCGUUUCUUCAUGACGGUCCCCACCGACAAACAAAUGACUUCCCCCACAACUAGACGACGGGGAACAAGAUGUGAGACAGGUUCUAUCCCUCCGUCUUCUCUCCUGUACAACUUCUUAGUUCCCCCUGUUGGUGAUAAGUCAAAAAGAAACAAUAACGUAAUGUCCUAACAUCCCACAAGUCUAAAAUUUACGACCGUAACUAGCUCGACAAUUGACCAAAAAUCAAGACUAAUCUACGCUUAGUACAAAAUCAAUACUACUCUACGUCUUUAACAACUCUGUCCCGUACUUACUAGGUCUAGGUAAAUAGAUUACUCUCCACAUAGUCUCUUUAUUUUUUAUAUAACUUGAUGUCAAGUACUGAAAUACGCUUCUUAAGAUUCCCUCGUUCAGUAAAAUGACCCCGAUUAUUUGGGUAUGGGGCGUAGAGCAGACGGGGCCCACGCCUCCGCUCGAAGGGCCGCUACCGCCGUCGCGACCUAAGCUAGACGUCCUCUCUGUCCCUCCACGCCGAAGUUUACCCUCUCCCAGAACUCUGUCGAAGUGUUCAUAAAUACUACUAGCAAACGUACCCGGACGUCUAGUCGACCCUCCUCGUCACCGUUCGUCGUCGUCGCCACCGUUCAUCUCCGUCACCCGUCGUCUUCGGGUAUGCGUAGACGAUCCGACGCACUUGACAUCUAACUAACUCACGGACUGGGCCUAAAUUGAACCGACGAUAUUCUACCUCCCCAGGAGUCGGCCUUAGAGGUAGUUAAACGCAGGAACCCGGUAUUAGAGGUAGUUUAAGGCAGCUUUAAACGUGCUUCGCAGGUUACAGCGGUGUCUCAAACGGCCUCCUUGUUCUUGUAACCAGGCAGGUCACAGCGGACGUCGCCGAUGUGGUUUCCCGGUGUACUUGUUCCUAGUACGCCUACGAUGUUUUGAGUAGCACGUUGUGAGUUGGAGACAAUUCCGUUCAUGUUAUAUCUCGAAUGAAUGCACCAUAGACCAGUACUUACGCUGAGACGUUCUAUAUGAUCUUUUGUUCAACAUCGAUAUAAUCAAACACUUUGUCAAUAUGAUAAAUAGAAGACAACUAAGGUAUGAAUUCAAAGAAAAACAUUGGUUUAUUGACAUCAUAAAAUCAAUAACCUAACACACACGAGCCAGUGUUACUAUAUAAAUCAACUUCUAUCCUUACAAAAUCAAGUUCGUAUACUAUUGAACUCACGUCGUCAUCUAUUUGUAAGUGAAUGUUUAAGAUGAGGUUUACCUGUCAUUAUCAUCAUGCACCCGUCACAUUUUACACAAAAACAAUCAAGUCACUUUUAAUCUCUAGUUGGACUACCAUGAAGUAAAAAUAAGAUUAUACGGUUUACGAUAAUUCCUUUACUUCAAAGAAGGAGCUAGUUCAAUAGUCAGGAACCAAGUGAGAACGGGAAACGCGAACUACUCUGCCCACUCCUCCUCCUCCUCCUCCUCUCACACCCCCGUAGACCUCUCCUCGCUCCCCACUCUUCUACUCUCCCUCUCUCUAUUCUCCACCCUGCACUUCCCCUCUUCUCCCCAUACCGUCCCGGCCUGGAGGACGGGCCUGUUCCGUGCGCCGCCUACGCGCUGCAGUAAAGAAACCCUGUACGACCCGAACGAAAGUAGGAUAUACGCGUUCUAUCUUUUUUGUAGUUCACCUCUAUACCCUUUUAGACCCGAAUUCUUACCAACUCAACACCUAUAAAACGAGUUUCGUAAGACCUCAGUCUCCUUAAUCGAGGUAUGUGGAACAGUUACCACAACGACUUGUCCUAUGGUGUACUCAACCCGACCUACUACUUUUAAGACGAGUUUAUUCUAGAUUCGCGUUCUCAUUUCUGUUUAAGUACUUGGAGUGUGGGUACUCGAGUCCAAACAGGUUGGAUUUGUUUCGUGUCUGUUGUCUCGAACAAUGGAGUUGUACACUACAAUCUCCGUGCCUUUUAGUUGUUCAAGUUACGUGUUUAUACCAACAACUAGUCGGAUGUACCCGACCCUUAGAACACUCGUUAAGACCACUACAAAGAUGUAAAGAAUCUUUCGAUUAACUGGUUCCUUUUCAAUCACAACCACUAUAUGUUAGUCUUGACUCAGAGAGUAGACUUAGCAACCUUCGACGAGAACUCUUUUAACCCCCGUUUAGUACCGACCUCGUAUACACUUGAACCGGAGGCCAGUAAAUAAGUCCUCUCCCUCGAUGUUGCCGUCCUCUUCUUACGUUGCUCCACGCCAGAAGACAAGCUACGGUUCCCGGAUAGGCCGUCGCUAAAGGAGACACUCAUGAGGUGAUGUACGGACGGCAGCUUAGGACUUCUACAACGAUCGCAGAACUUCCUAAUGAAUAUAAACGAGGGAUUAAAGCACCUAAUAUGGUUUAUACAGGACCAUGUAAUAUACCCAUAACGUAGCGAACAUGAAUAUCUCCUUUCACCCGAUAUGAACAAGUCGAGUUCUCGUCCAACUAAUGUCUCGUCGUCCUUGGCUUCUUCCUUCUCUCAUUUACGUCUCCUACACGCACACUUCAGCGUAAUUCAUGGACCUACAGGAGCGUAACUACUAGAACUAGUACCGACUGGCUGCCGCGCUCUCCUUGAUACACCAAAAGGAAGAGGAGCACUCGAGGCCAAUCUCUCUUCACUUUCACUAACACCACCACCAUUCUCUCCUUCACCCCUUCCGUCGCGAAUUAAUCUCCUCGCCUACUCCGUACAUAAGGUUACCACUUGUCCCAAGUACUCCGAAACACAGAUAUACAUGGUGGACAGAACUUGAGAUAGACACACAACCGCGGUCGCGAUGCGCGGCGGAGAGGCUGAGGAGUGAGGCAGGAGCAGGUGCCACCGGCGGCGGUGGGAGUGGACGCGAGCACGGAAGAAGUAGAGGCCGGCGCUCGAGGUGGGGCAGGUCGGAGUAGAGGGGUCUAGAAGAACUAAAACUAGGCCCUCGUAUGCCCACGCCUAGUUUCGCAACCACCUGUCCAAGCGCUUCCUCGACGUCCUCCGCGAUCUGCGCCUGUAGGUCUUAGCGUAGUACUUCCUCGCCCUCUACGAUCGAUGUAGUCCUCGCGUUUGUGCUCCAGCGGCUCUCCCUCCGACAAACCUUCCGGCUCCAGAGGGUGGCGCUCAUUCCCUAGUCAACGACUUAAGACCACGUAAGGACCCAUAAGAACCCUCUCCUUGUGAACCGCCGCAGAUCAUGCAACCACUCGAACUGCUGUUGACAAUUACCCCGUUACUCCACUUCGAGAUACUCGUGGUUCAUCUGUUAGAGAAACGAUACAAAACCGUGUUUUUCGGCCUGUAGUUGAUGAUGCAGACGUGUUAGUUGUUCUGCAAACGGUUUGGUCCGGUCGCGUACAUAAAGGUCCAAUUGAUAUGACUUCUCUUGGACGAGCUGAUGUAACUAGGUUUCUUACUAUGUGAGUACCAGUCUGAACGUCUACCGGUAAACGAGCGGUUCACAACGUAGUACCAUCGUUCACUGUUCUCCCGGUGAUAUUGGUGGUUGACCAGACUCAAAGCAGCAGCGCGGUUAUAAGCACUUCCUCUGUAGACACGUAAAGCAAAGUCCUAGUGAAGUUUCGCGGCGGACCAAGAGUGGCACGUGGCGGAGAUCUACGUGUUAACUUCUGCGACGUCGGGGACACAGUUAUAUUAGAUUAUAUUACGUGAUGAUUCAUGAGGAUUAAUACGAUAUAGUACAGUACUGGAUACCAGGAGAAAACACGUGAGAAUAUAGUACCAAAAGUUCUGGAUUAUGAAUACAAUUUUCGUUACAAUAAUCAGUCAGCAAAGUACAGGUCUAGGUAUUACCCGAAAGAGAAAUGUCACAUAUAAAGAAAG
rnacentral:rRNA from 1 species